rnacentral:tRNA from 48 species
GCACCCGUAGCUCAGCUGGAUAGAGCGCUGCCCUCCGAAGGCAGAGGUCACAGGUUCGAAUCCUGUCGGGUGCACCA